GAGGAAUAUUGGGCAAUGCCCGCAAGGGUGACCCAGCAACGCCGCGUGGAGGAUGAAUGUCGUAAGAUUGUAAACUCCUGUUAGAGGGGAAGAAUAGUACCGGUUGGACCGGUAUAUGACUGUACCCUCAGAGAAAGCCCCGGCUAACUACGUGCCAGCAGCCGCGGUAAUACGUAGGGGGCAAGCGUUGUCCGGAUUUACUGGGUGUAAGGGGCGCGCAGGCGGGAUAAAAAGUCAGUGGUGAAAUCCUACAGCUUAACUGUAGAACUGCCUUUGAUACUUUUAUUCUUGAGUUCGGGAGAGAGAGACGGAAUUCCAGGUGUAGUGGUGAAAUACGUAGAUAUCUGGAAGAACACCAGUUGCGAAGGCGGUCUCUUGGUCCGACACUGACGCUGAGGCGCGAAAGCGUGGGGAGCAAACA
rnacentral:rRNA from 1 species